UACGUAGGGAGCAAGCGUUGUCCGGAAUCAUUGGGCGUAAAGAGCGUGUAGGCGGACCAGUAAGUCGGCUGUGAAAGUCAAGGGCUCAACCCUUGGAUGCCGGCCGAUACUGCUGGUCUAGAAUCCGGAAGAGGCGAGUGGAAUUCCUGGUGUAGCGGUGAAAUGCGCAGAUAUCAGGAGGAACACCAAUGGCGAAGGCAGCUCGCUGGGACGGUAUUGACGCUGAGACGCGAAAGCGUGGGGAGCAAACAGG
rnacentral:rRNA from 1 species